UAAAUAAAAAUAGUGUGAGAUACUAUUUUUAUUGGACUUAUAGAAGUAAAAUAUAAGUCGGGAACGACUCGUGCGGAAAUCGAAGCGAGAACAGAAGAUUUUGAAUUUUCUGUAUGAAUCGAUGCUGUUAUUUUAGCAGAAAAUGCAUAGUGUCAGAAAAUUCCGAAAAUCUGGGAAUAUGUCAGAAUUAUUUUUAUGAGGCUAGAUUUAAGGUUUCAUGUCAUUCUGACAUUCGGAAGGUGAAAAAUAAAAUCCGACAGUUAUCUGAUAAAGAUUACAGUUCGGUACAGCUUUCGGUGACCAAACGGGGUCGAAACUGAAAGAUUAAAAUUUUUUUCGUUAAGUAAGGUUAGACCGAGCAUGACUGCCAAAUUUGAGCUCAAUCAGACGUUCAGAAGGGCGGACGAAAAAUAUCUGUAUCUGAGCUAUAAUCUGAUGUGAAUAGUGUUUUGGGAGUAUAUAUAGGUGAACUUGCACUCUUUUUUUCUCAUUUGUGCCCAACCCGAGAGAGACUUGGAGAGCAAGUUUCUUUUCUCUUUUUCUCUCUUUCUCUCUAGUUCUCACCCCUCACUCCUUUUCUCUUCUAAUCUCUCCACAAAAGAGAAUUAAUUGGAGAAGAAGUUGGAGAGUAGCUUGGAGCUCAAGCUUUUAUCUUCUUCCUCUCUAUUAGAGAAAGCUUUGGAGGUAAGUUUUGGUAGUAACUUUGGUAGAUUGCUAAGGAAUGAUUCGUAUGCUCUACGAAUGGGUUUAGAGAACUCCCUAGAUGCUAAUAACAUGUUAAUUGCAUGAAUCAAGUUCCAAUUUGGUGAUUUCUUGCAAUAGUAGCAUGUUAAGGCUCAAAUUGGGGUUCUGCAAUAUGUAGAGGUUUGAUCUAAAUUGAGCAUGUAUAAACCUAAUUGCUAGGUUUUCUGACACGUUGGCGAAGUCGGUUCGGUGAUACGACGAGGCUACGCGAAGAUAUUGAAGAAAAGGCCGAUUUCGGUACAGAUUGUCGCAGCUCGCGGCGUAAGCUUCCAAAAAUCACGAAACCCGAAUCGUAGCAUCGUGACAUCACCUAAAGUCUUGGAGCUAAGAGAGUCGGAGGCACGAAGGGUCGCGUGUAGCUCUUGGUGGGUUUGACCUAGCUACAAAUGAGAAAAUCUCAUUUAUGUGGAUUUAAGUAUCGUAAAAUAGAAAAUCACGUAUUUUCAUGAAAGAUGCAUUAUUUGUGAAUUUUAGAAUGCUUGAAAUGCUUAUGUUAUAUACAAUGCAUUUUCGGACCUCUAUGUAGUAGAGAGCUUGCAUGUGAGACUUAUGCAUGGGUUUAACAUUCUGAUUGGGACUUGAAAUCAUGCUCCAUAUAGUAGACAUGACAAAUGUAAUAUGCCUUGGAUAUAAAUCUCAUUUGGACAUAAGAGAAUACAUUAGGCCAUAAAGUGGCUUUGGACUUGAAUAACUUGUGAGUUAGGGAGCUAAUGUCGUAAUGCGACAUCGGGCUUGAGCUAUGAAUGAGUCUAGCAAAGUAAUGCCAUAGAGAGGCAUUAGACUUGAAUGAUAUGUGAAUUGUAUGUGCAUGUUAAUAUUAUGAGAAUUAUGCUAAAUUGGUAGUUGCAUUGGAAAAUGUAUGCAUGUAGCAUUAUGAAAACUAUGCUAUGUUGAUAGUUGCAUACGGAUACAUUGAAACCAUAUAUUAGUGGAUAGAUGCAUGUUAAUA
rnacentral:lncRNA from 1 species